rnacentral:rRNA from 1 species
AGUGAACGCUGGCGGCAGGCCUAACACAUGCAAGUCGAACGGCAGCACAGUAAGAGCUUGCUCUUACGGGUGGCGAGUGGCGGACGGGUGAGGAAUACAUCGGAAUCUACUUUUUCGUGGGGGAUAACGCAGGGAAACUUACGCUAAUACCGCAUACGACCUACGGGUGAAAGCAGGGGAUCUUCGGACCUUGCGCGAUUGAAUGAGCCGAUGUCGGAUUAGCUAGUUGGCGGGGUAAAGGCCCACCAAGGCGACGAUCCGUAGCUGGUCUGAGAGGAUGAUCGGCCACACUGGAACUGAGACACGGUCCAGACUCCUACGGGAGGCAGCAGUGGGGAAUAUUGGACAAUGGGCGCAAGCCUGAUCCAGCCAUACCGCGUGGGUGAAGAAGGCCUUCGGGUUGUAAAGCCCUUUUGUUGGGAAAGAAAAGCAGCAGGUUAAUACCCCGCUGUUCUGACGGUACCCAAAGAAUAAGCACCGGCUAACUUCGUG